AUUGAACGCUGGCGGCAGGCCUAACACAUGCAAGUCGAGCGGAUGAAGGGAGCUUGCUCCUGGAUUCAGCGGCGGACGGGUGAGUAAUGCCUAGGAAUCUGCCUGGUAGUGGGGGAUAACGUCCGGAAACGGGCGCUAAUACCGCAUACGUCCUGAGGGAGAAAUGGGGGGAUCUUCGGACCUCACCCUAUCAGAUGAGCCCAGGUCGGAUUAGCUAGUUGGUGGGGUAAAGGCCUACCAAGGCGACGAUCCGUAACUGGUCUGAGAGGAUGAUCAGUCACACUGGAACUGAGACACGGUCCAGACUCCUACGGGAGGCAGCAGUGGGGAAUAUUGGACAAUGGGCGAAAGCCUGAUCCAGCCAUGCCGCGUGUGUGAAGAAGGUCUUCGGAUUGUAAAGCACUUUAAGUUGGGAGGAAGGGCAGUAAGUUAAUACCUUGCUGUUUUGACGUUACCAACAGAAUAAGCACCGGCUAACUUCGUG
rnacentral:rRNA from 1 species